CUGAACAAUCUGGUUUAGGGUGUGGGCAUAGCACCUAAUUCUUUCUUGAGACAUUUUUUGACCGCUAGUUUCAUACUUAAUGCAUUAUCUGAAGCAAUGCACUUUAUUUUACUCUAUAUACCCCAUUCUUCAAUGAUUCUCUCCAUUUCUUGCGAGAAAUUUUCUCCAGUGUGAGAGUCCACCAUUCUUGUAAGUUCAGGCAAAAUUUAUUUCAUCCUGAAUUCAUCAUAGAUGAAGUGAGCAGUUAUGGUUAAAUAUGAUUCACAUAUCGAUGACGUCCAACAAUCCGUAGUUAGGCAAAUUGUUCAACGUUUGUCAUCACCUGUUUUAUUUCAUGUAUGCAUUGCUUGUACUUCUUUGGCAGUUAACAACCGGAAAGAGUUUUACUGCUCGGUAGCUGAUAAGAAGGAUUCAGUGCUCUCACAAAUUUUUUAAAACCUUCAUCCUCAACCACGCUAAAUGGUUAAAAUUCAGUAAUGAACAAGUCCAUUAAGACGUCAUCAAUUUUCCGCCCUUCAUCUAAACACAACUUUUUAGGCGCAAACUGAAAAUUUUUGCUUUGCUGGAGUUUAGUUUUUUUUUUCGUUGGUGAUUUUGAUUGCCAUGUUAUUUACUUCAACGUCGUUUAUUUCAUUUGAUGAGGAUUCUUCUUGCCUUUCAAUACUCCAUUGUAGUACUGUUGGAUGAGUUCGAUUCAGAUGUUUGUUUGUUUGUUUUUUUUUUUUUCAAAUUAGCUGUUGAAGAAAGUUCCUUUGUAAUAAACUAAUCACUUGCAGUGAAAUGUGACCAAAUCUCACUGGACUUUUUCACAGAGCUCAUGAAUGAAUAAAGAAGUUUUUUUUUUUAAAUAGAAACACUCUGAAUAUACUAUUAAACUUUCGAAUAUUUAACAAAUAAUAAAUAACAAGCAAAACUGUAAAUGAGAAGUUAAACUAAUGCGACGUAACUUAAAUUAUAACAAACAACGUGAUACAGAAUUUAAAAAUUAGUUCUCAAAUCGAUGUUCAGGAAAAGGAUUCAAAACGAAAAAUAGUCAAGAAUUUAAACUAGCCUUCACAUCACAACUUCUUUUUCUGUUUACUUGAUAGAUUAUCUCAGUUUAACACCACUUUUUUUCAGGUAGUCAAUCAUACUUUAUGAGCAAUCGCUGUAAAUCCUUUAUGAGGGCGGGAAAACAGCCACGAGCAAAAAUCAUCACAUGCAGAAUACCCUUUGAAAAUUUUUUCUACUCCAUCAGCUACUGCAAAAUUUACCAGAUGUUCCCCUGACGAUUGGUCCGUUUCGAAAUCAAAAAAGAUCAACUUAUCAGACGGCGUUUGUGAUUUGAUGGUUUUAGAGUAACAUCUAUGUUCUGAAGACUUCACAAAGGUUUUACAGGAAGGACAUUUUAUUGUCCAACAACGAUGUAGCUCUGGUGGACAUUCUCGCCUUCGAACGACUUUACAACAGGUUCUGCGUUGGUAAAUUUAAAAUAAUAAUUUAAAAAAAAAAUAUUUGUUACAUUCACUGAGAAAAAAUUUAUAAAUGUACGUACGCAUACAUAUAAAAAAUAAUUUUGUCUUACUUUAUCGCACAAAGAAUUCUCUUGCAGUCCAGAUGUAAACUUAUGAACAUUAAAGCAUUCUUGUGACCUACACAGCCUGAAGCAAUCUCCACAUCUUAUAUUUUGUCCAUCUUCGCAGUCAACUCUGGCACAAACUCUGCAUGAAUUAGAAUAAAAAUGAUCCUCAAUGUGUGCAAAUGGCUUUUCACACUGCUCACGAUAAAAAUUACUUGCAUGAUAACCUUUCAUGCGUUUUAUCACGUCGUAAUGGUUAUUUGAUAAUAGAAGAUUGAUUCUUUGUACUCCCCUGUAUAAGCAACCUAAAAUACAUAAUUUUAUUAAACAUUCAUACAAAAUAAUUAAUACUUAAUUCAUAAAAAUAAAAAAAACAUGACAGAGAUUUGAAUGUCCAAAAAUCGUUCGAAAAUGGCUAUUGCGUUGAAUGUGCAGGGGCCUAAUGAUACGCCUGCAGCAAAGUGUAAAUCUUUUGCCUUGUUCAAAAGAGCAGGUCGAUUCUUCCUCCGCAAAACAUCAAUCUGCUUUCUGUCGUUAUUUAAAUGUGCUAAAGCAUAAACAAUGGCUUUAGCACAGCACAACACUUGUUCGUCUGGAUGAAUAGUUAAUAUCGACUUUUUGGUAUUCCUGUCUUUAAAAAUAUUAACUGUUCUAUUUCCUCUACCGGCACCGACAUCUCUCCUUAUAGUAAUGAUGUCAACUAUAAAUCCCUAAUCUAACUCUAUUUGGUCUUUCGACUGCAAAACUUUUAAAACACAGAUUGGUAAUCUAAGACAAGGGGACCUAUCUGUCGUAUUGCAAACUCUUGAAAUUAAUAACUCGAACAAUUGUCGGACAGUGUCAACAACAGUAAUUACUGGCGUCCCUCUCAAAAUCAAUCCAACUUUAUCAAAGAUUUCAAUUUCUCAGGAAGCGGUUCAAACCAUAGAUCAAAGAUCCUUCCAACGGUCCUUCUGGAUGUCCCAAAUCGAUAGGCAAUAUCCGUGGCAAAUAAAUUCAGUUUUAAUUUCAUUAAAACAAUUAACAAUUGUUCACUCCUAGAUAUGGCUUGUAUGGAGUCUGGCACAUCAGAAGCCAUUACGUGUUCUAUAAAACGGUUCUAUAGAGUUCGUGAAAUUGUUAGGAUCAAUAAUUGGAAAACAGUGUUACAAUUAAGUUCUAACAGAAUGUUUUAACUCUUUUUUUUAUAAUGCUUUUAAGAACCCCCUUCGCUGUCUUUUUUUUCUCCCUUAUUACUUAACAAGUAGUACAUUUUCGAUCUUAAACCUACGAACUCUUUCACUGCAACACCGUUCAUCUCAUCUUUCAUUUUCCUUAAAAAAAAAAUUUUUUUUAAUGACUCAAUGGAUAAUCUGAUGUAUCGUAUAAGUUAAUGUGUUAGGCCAUGACAAGGUAGAUGUCAUCCGUUUGUAUCUCGUAAAAAAGCGAGUCUGUGUCUGUAAACAAUAAUUCUGCCUUACUUCCUUAUUUUGCUUUAAUGUGACCGUAGUGAAAUUCAUACAUAAAAAUUUUGCUAAUGUCCAAUACAGUGAAACUUAUAUAAAUAGGACGAUUGAGAGUAAGAGAUGAAAAGUGACGUGAUAUAAUUACUAAUCCUUCGUCUAUAAUUUUAAAUGAACUAAAAGAGGGUGAUGCAAUUAAUUUUAAAACUUUUUUUCUUAUCGGUUACUAGAUCUACAGCUGCAAGAUUUCUCAGAUUUUCCAUAGUCUUUCCAAAAACACUGUUAUUCAUAAGUUCCCGAAAAUCUUUAUCAAAGGAAUUAUUUGCCAUGGUUUUUCUUCAACAGGGGAAAGGAAGGAAUCCCUGCACUACCACUUUGCCAUUACUUCUUAGCGAACUCUGUGGAAACUAGGCAACUCAGCUGAGGGGGAAAAUCCAGUCUAACCUCGUUACGUCAAGAGUGAAUGUCAAAAAGUUGCUCCUACAAGAUCAGUCCAACGCACUUUCGUUUGCGUUCUUGCUGCAAAGCAUCUCACUACAAAGCAUUUCUUCCAUUAUCGCAUUUUUGCGUUAAACAUGUCUUUCACGUCAAGACAUUUCUAUAACGGUUAAACGAAGUUUAACAAGGCAACUUUAGACAUGAUCCCUCGCUAUCAAUAAGAACAUAUGAAUAACAGCAGGGUAUAUGUUACGCAGUUAUUUCAGUGCGCGUAUCACUAUUAGAUGCAUUUUUAAUUAAAAUGUAUUCAAAAUCUGCAUAAGUUCAAAACUUGGAAUUAAAUAAAUUAUAAUUAACAUUUUCCACUGUUUUUGUUUUCCAUUCCUGCGAAACCUUCAACGAGCCAAUGAUAUUUCCUAGAAAUUCUAGCUAUGAAAAAAUAUCAAGAUCUCUUUUAACCGAUAAAAUAAGAUCUUCAUUUUACACCUAGUUCUGGAUUUUGAACCUCUACUAAAAAUACUAAUCACAUUUUGAUCUCCAACGAUGUCUUAUACUCAUAAUUUUGUAUCCAUUUGGGUGAUUUUAUUCAGCUUUUAUGUGAUUUUAUUCAGCUUUGAAUGCAACUGUUAUGAUGCUUUACUAUGUUUACAUUUUACCUGGUUUUACUCACUUUUGAAUGCGUUGGUUUCGUUGUAUUCAGUUUUAUAAAUUCCGUGUGAUUUUUGAGGGGAAAAACUUGUAGUAUAACAUCUACAUAGGAUUUAUUUUGAAACCGUUUGUUUGGCGCAGCAUGUCCUUCUGAGGACUUUCUGCCACUAAACCCAACAUUCAAUUCAAAUCCAAAAAGUGGUCUACAGAAUCAGAUCCUCUACAGACCGUAACAGGUUUAUAUGUUUUUCCAUCAGGUCCUACGAUUACGUAAGCAUAACCGCGGGGUGUAUGAAUUGACAUUUUCUCAGUAUAUGAGGCUAAAGGAUUAGGUUGACAACUAUCAAUUUUCUCAAUGAGAGACUCAAAAUCUGCGUAAAUUAUAAAGGAAUGGGAGGCUGAAAAUUAAUAUUAUGAAAAGAUACAAUUUUAUCUUUAUCAUCAGGCUUUUAAUAUCUUGAGGGGAAUUAUGUUUACAAAAAGUUAAGUGUUUUUUAAGGGUCUCUUCUACUGCAUGAAGACAACGAUAAAAAUAGAAGCUUUUAGGAUUAUGUUUAGUGGCAUCAACCAUCAAACGAGAGAAAUUUCGAAUGAGGCAAUAAUGAUUUUGCUUUUCAUUUGAAAUUAAAAGUGAGUUGCAGCAUUCAACAUCUUCACGCUCGGAAAUAUACAGUGGAAAUAUUACCUCGUCAUACCCAAAGACGUUAAUACGAAUGUUAUUGAGUGUCUCGAUUUUAGGAAUUUGGAAUAUGGGUACUGGCAAGCUUCAAUUGCCCAAGUUAACCAUUAUUUACCAUUCGAAUCAAAUAUUAGCUCGUGGAUUUUGAGAUUUAUGAAUAUUCAUUCGAAAAGCCAAAAGACACCAUACGAGAUAUUUUUGAUCUAAAUUUUGAAUAUUUAAAACUGCUUUUUUACUUAAAAUUUUAGUGGGCAAUGGAAUAUAACUAACUGCUCAUGCUUAACGGGCAAUAUUUAGCACUGGAUACUUCCUUAAAAUCAAUAAAUUCAAGUAUCCAACCUGAACCAUUGUUGCAAAAUUUUUCAAAAGCACCAUGAAUUUUUAGAAAACCAGUGUUUAUAUUUACCUCCAGACCAUUUUCUAACAACUGGAUGUAACAAUUGCUUCUAAAGCAGGGGGUUGCAUAUUCAGGUAUCCCCCCCUCAGAGUUUUUUCUACUGCACAAGGUCUUUACCACUAGGUAGAAUUUAAUGUUCCCCUUUUCUCGAACUUCACCUCUCAGUUUUUCGUUCAGUUUUGGACGCAUCUCGUCGAAGAAUAAAUUGAAGUCAAACAUGGAGUCUUCGCUAGGAGUUAAAAAUGAGGAUGAGAAAACCCCUAACGCUGGUGAUGGCGAAACUCUUUUAGACGAUGAUGAUGACUCCUCGCUCGACUUCCUCUUAAAAUGAAGCAA